GCAGAAGAAGCACCGGCUAACUCCGUGCCAGCAGCCGCGGUAAUACGGAGGGUGCGAGCGUUUAAUCGGAAUUACUGGGCGUAAAGCGCAUGCAGGUGGUUUGUUAAGUCAGAUGUGAAAGCCCGGGGCUCAACCUCGGAAUUGCAUUUUGAAACUGGCAGACUAGAGUACUGUAGAGGGGGUAGGAAUUUCAGGUGUAGCGGUGAAAUGCGUAGAGAUCUGAAGGAAUACCGGUGGCGAAGGCGGCCCCCUCGGACAGAUACUGACACUCAGAUGCGAAAGCGUGGGGAGCAACAGGAUUAGAUACCCUGGUAG
rnacentral:rRNA from 1 species